rnacentral:rRNA from 1 species
AUUGAACGCUGGCGGCAGGCUUAACACAUGCAAGUCGAGCGGAGCGAGGGUGCUUGCACCUUAGCUUAGCGGCGGACGGGUGAGUAAUGCUUAGGAAUCUGCCUAUUAGUGGGAGACAACAUUCCGAAAGGAAUGCUAAUACCGCAUACGCCCUACGGGGGAAAGCAGGGGAUCUUCGGACCUGGCGCUAAUAGAUGAGCCUAAGUAGGAUUAGCUAGUUGGUGGGGUAAAGGCCGACCAAGGCGACGAUCUGUAGCGGGUCUGAGAGGAUGAUCCGCCACACUGGGACUGAGACACGGCCCAGACUCCUACGGGAGGCAGCAGUGGGGAAUAUUGGACAAUGGGCGGAAGCCUGAUCCAGCCAUGCCGCGUGUGUGAAGAAGGCCUUUUGGUUGUAAAGCACUUUAAGCGAGGAGGAGGCUCUUAAGGUUAAUACCCUUGAUGAGUGGAUGUUACUCGCAGAAUAAGCACCGGCUAACUCUGUGCCAGCCGCCGCAGUAACAC